AGCAGAGAGAGGGAUGUGAGGAUGGUGGAGGGGACAAAGAGACGCUUCAGCAUUUCCCAAAUCCGUGGAUGAGACAAUCCAAGCACGAGCAGGAGUGGUGGAGAAUGGGGAAAGCUGGUCUGGACGUGAGGAUGAGUGUGCAAGAACAGGAGGAAGGCCAGAGCUGAAGGCAGGACCCAACAGGAAGGGGCUCAGAGGGUGAUGGGAAUCCCUCUGGAAGUGUUUUAUCCCAGCGAGGAGGAUCCACUGCUCCUCGGGGAGGGAAGGAGCAGGAGCCACGUGUCCGAUGCCUUUGGAUCGUGGGUUUUGCUGGGAAGGGAAUCACAGGGAAGAGCCAACCCUGCAGGUACCGGGAUGUGCUGGAGCUUCUUGGGCUGGGUCAGAGCUGUGGGGAGCUGCCAGCAUCACCUCUGCUCAGAAAUCCCACUGCAACAAUUCCUCAGAGCUUGGGGAAAAUUUGGGAGCCAGGGGAAAACUGGGGGAAAGGCAGUGGGAGAGUUUGCUGGUGCUGCAAGCAGGAUGCAGGUCUGUCUGGAUCCCUGCACCUCCGCGCUCCUCGCUCACUCCAAAGGUGCCCGGCAAGAUCCGAGCUGGCCCAAAUUCCUGCCUGGCCCACCUGGAAUCCUGGGGAUUCAGGGGUGAAAGUGCCAGGCCAUGGUUGGAGAGGUUCUGCUGCCCAGGGCAGGCAGGGGGGUGCCGGCAUCCCACGGGAAUGGGUCCUGGAAGCUGCAUCCCUGCCAGGAGGGAUCAUCCUGUCCUGUGUGUGAGCAAAACCUAUUCCAAAAGUCAUUCUGCACCUCCACAUUCAAUAUUCCUGCACCAGCCCACAUCCCUGCAGCCUUUUCCCCUCUCCCAGGAAACGAUGAGCUCAGGACAAUAUUUAUCCUGGUCCUUCCUCUCACUGGGAUCCCGGAGCUGUCCCUGGGCAGGUGACACAGCCCGUUCCCACCUGGCUCAGCAUUCCCGGGGCUCCAGGAGCCGCUUCCCUGGAGAGGAACGGAACCUGCUGCCUCCCCGGGAGGGCUCUCCAGAUUCCAUCCUGCGUUUAAUUGUUGCCAUCUGCUGUUCCCGGCUCCAGGGGCUGUCUGCUGGCAGUCGGGUAAGCCAGCCCCGUGUGGAC
rnacentral:lncRNA from 1 species